GCUGGGCAGGGUGGCACAUGCCUGUAAUCUCAGCAGCUCUGGAGGCUGAGACAGGAGGAUUGCAGGUUCAAAGUCAGCCUCAGCCAUUUAGCAAGGCUCUGAGUAACUUAGUGAGAACCUGUCUCUA
rnacentral:sRNA from 1 species